UGCCCUUCUAAAAAAUUAGUUGACCACAUAAGCGUGGGUUUAUUUUUGGGCUCUCUAUUCUGUUCCAUUGAUCUAUUUGUCUGUUUU